rnacentral:lncRNA from 1 species
CCCAAAGUGCUGGGAUUACAGGCGUGAGCCACCACACCCGGCCUCCUAACUGAUGUUUCAGUUUGGAUCUGAAGAACGGGAAUUUUCAUAAUUUCUUUUUCAAGGUUUUUGAGAAUUAGUUUGUUGCCAUUUCCGAACUUCCAUCCCAUUGUGAUGUGCAUAACCAGUCGGCUUCCUUAGCCUCAUCCUCCACCCAGGGAAGCUCCGACCACGCCAGCACCAGGAAGGCCAGCCGGGGAGCAGCCUGGCCCAGGGGUCAGGAGCCGGGGCCUGUGUGACUGGGGCCUGUGUGGCUGGCACCUGGUGGAUGUGAGCCCCAGGACAGGGAGUUUCUGUGCCCAUGAGAUGGAAGCAGCUCACUUCUUGGCCCCUUUCAAGAAUCUGGGAAGAGCUCCAGGAGUCAGAGGUCUGGGUGCCAGUCCCAGCUCUGCUCCAAACUGGCCGUGUGACCUCAGCGAAGUUAUUUCCCAGUUUUGUUUUCUUCUUUUACAAAAUGACAGGGUGAGAGUCGUGAUUGGUUUUCUUAGUGUCAGAAGUGCUGAACUCUGUUAGAAAGCGUCUCAGGUUGUUUUGUUUGACAGUGACUACCCACUUUGCAGAGACCUGGGCUGCCCGCUCUCUGGGGAAUACUGGAGGUUAUGCCCCAUCUCCUGUCCUGUGGGAGAACCCACCCUCCGAACGAGGCUCUGGUGAGGUUUUCACAAUCAGUAACAAGGCCGAUCUCCAUCAAUGGAAGUCUCCCCGUUUGAGAUGGGGUGUGUGCUCCUUACCCAGGCUCCUGAACAAAACCCACCUCCUUGUCUUGGCACCACUGAGAGUGCACACCGAGGGGGCUCCAGCACCAGAUUGUGGGAACAGUCACGAGAAAGCAGCUCAGACUUCACACCCAGAGCCCUUGAUCCCUACACACCCAGUAUUCCUUCACAGCGCUCUUCCUGCUUCCUGGACACGUGGAACUGCUUCUCCAUCGGGGAGGAUCCAUCCAGAGCCCUUUGGGUGGGUGCUCAGGGCAAUAGCUGCUGCCUCUUCCUUCUGCUCAGUGCUGGGAGGCGUUACACUUUCCCCAUAUGGCACGGAGCAGAACGUGCACCUUUGGCUCUGGAAGGAAUGAACAUCCUACCCGUUAGUUAGCCCUGGGAGUCACUGACUCGGUUCUUCCCUGGACACCAAUGUCCUAUGGAGCACACAGAAAGCCACGGAAGUGUGGUCUGCGGGUUGAGACGGACUCCGUUCAUGUGGAUAAGCAGAGGAAAUUUGGCAGAAACGACCAAAUGCAAAAUACGUGUAGCAGCCUGAGACCGGCCGUCUACUGAAACAAAGGAUGCAGUUCAGUCGGAAACCACGCUUAGCUGAGUAGCUGUCUUUAGCCAUCCAGGCCCUGAGAACCAAUGAACAACCCAGCUUGGCCGCUUAGAACAUUUUUUCUAUACUUGAGUUAAAUAGAUAUCCAAGAACCAUUACUCGUUUUUAAUGUGGAGAAGUCGGUAUUCUAUUCUCGUGUUCUAUGUUUUUUAAAGUGGCAAUUUGAAUUAUUUCGUGCGAUAGAAAACCUUAAACACAAAGUAACGUUUCUAACAAAAGGGCUGUCGAUCAAGUGACAAACACGUCCUACUUUUAGAUACAAGCACGACUGAGGCAACGGCACGAAGACGCCUAAAGUGGGCUGCUGGGGAGACAAGAUCUGGCCGCGAAUGGAACUCGCGGCAGCUCAUUAACGGGACCGUCCAGCAGGAAGGUCUCAGGGCACUGUCGCCCCUACUCACUUUGAUGAAGCCAGUGCUGGGUUGCUGCUGAGGUGGGGAGGUUCAUGGGCCAGGAACUGAAGGCAGCCAUGAGAGCCAGACCCCUCCACCACCCCCAAGACAGCAGGGAACUCACUCCAACAGCCACCCUGGGAUGCUGCCACAGCUGAGCCUGGAGGUGACCGUGACCCUGGCUGACGUCGGACUGCAGCUUUGUAAGGGAGACUGAGCCGGGACCCAGACCUACAAAAGCUGAGAUGAUAAACACUGUUUUAAGCUGCUGUGUGUCGCAGUGACUCGUGUGGUAGUGGAUUUCUAGCAGAGCCGUCGUUCGUGUCUGCCUUCUCUCAGCUCAACACUCUGUAGGGCCACCCAUGCCGUUGUGCAUGUCAACGGUGGAUUUUUUAUUGCGAGUAAUAUUUCAUUCCAUUGCAUGCUCACACCUCGGUUUGUUUAACUGUCUACCUGUUGAUGAGCUCUGGGACAUAUGCAGUUCUGGGCUAUUAUGAGUAAAGCUGCUUUUAACA